rnacentral:rRNA from 1 species
UACGUAGGGGGCAAGCGUUGUCCGGAUUCACUGGGCGUAAAGAGCUCGUAGGUGGUUUGGUAAGUCGGGUGUGAAACCUCCAGGCUCAACCUGGAGUCGCCACUCGAUACUGCCAUGGCUAGAGUUCGGUAGGGGAGCAUGGAAUUCCUGGUGUAGCGGUGAAAUGCGCAGAUAUCAGGAGGAACACCAGUAGCGAAGGCGGUGCUCUGGGCCGGUACUGACACUGAGGAGCGAAAGCGUGGGGAGCGAACAGG